CGACUGUUUAACAAAAACACAGCUCCCUGCGAACUCGUAAGAGGAUGUAUAGGGGGUGACACUUGACCAAUGCCAGAAGGUCAAAUAUCGGCGUUGCUUUGUCGCAAGAUGGAGUGGUGACUGAUAUAAGCCCUGGUGAAUGUCGGCGAUAACUAUAAUCGUCCUAAGGUUGACCAUACUUUUCUUUAUAUGUCAAGCGUGGUCAAGGAUUGGGACGAUUACGGGUCGGCAUUUAAGUAGCGCUGCCCAUCCGCACAUGGCGGGUGUCCUAGAAUAUCUAGCUAUAUGCUGGAAAAUCUGUGGAUAAACUCCUUUAGUAUCCAACGAUACUAUGGUAAGAUUGUUCCAUAGUGAAUAAUCUACUUAGUAAAAAAUUAGUUGGUGCAGAUAACCAGCAGGAAAGAUUAGAAAUAGAAUCGUGGAUCGUGGGAUUUACAGACGGAGAGGGUUGUUUUUCGGCAAGUUUUAUUAAAAAUAAAACUACAAAAUCCGGAUGGCAAUUGUUUCCUGAAUUUGUAAUUACCCAAGGCGCAAAAAGUAUCUCUGCUUUGGAAGCGGUACAAAACUACUUCCAAUGCGGAAAGAUAUUUGUGAAUAAACGAUAUGAUAAUCACAAUGAAUAUCUGUAUCGCUACUGCGUACGAUCUAUAAAAGAUUUACGAGACAAAAUAAUUCCUUUUUUUGAGAAAAGAAAAUUAAAGACAUAUAAAGCAAGAGAUUUUAGAAUCUUUGCGCGUAUUGUGAAAUGUAUGUCUCGAAUGAUUCACCUUAAACCGAAAGGAAUGAAAAGAAUUGCUGAAAUGAUUGAGCAUAUGAAUAGAAAGAAAAAAUCUCGUUUUCUAAAAUCCUCAGAAACCAAACGCUAGAAUCCGAUUUUGGUCGGAUAAGAUAGAGUUCGUCCUGCAUGGCGACAUGCAGAUUAACAAAAGAUAGCGCAAUUCCUUGCGGGGUAAGUUCCCGCGCGUUGAAUAGUGUCACGUCUGGGCAACUGUCUCGGAGACUCGCUCGGUGAAAAUACAAUACCGGUGAAGAUGCCGGUUACCUGCAGUUAGACGAAAAGACCCCGGAAGCUUUACUGUAUCUUGGUAUUGCCUGCAUUUUUUUGAUGCGUAGCGUAGGCGGUAGGAUUUGAAGUCCCGCUCUCGGGCGGGAUGGAUCCAACGAUGAAACACCGCUCUUUAGAAAUAUGCAUGCUAACCUCGCACGCCAAACGCGCGAGAGACAGUACCUGGGGGGCAGUUUUAGUGGGGCGCUAUCCUGGACGCGUCCUUGGUCAAUUAGCAGAAGGCCUAAACAUAAAGAGGGAUCGUUUUGUGCAAACAAAACGCAAACAAUUAGCUAUAUGCUGGAACAUCUGGAGUAUCUUACGCUACCGCGCGUCGUGCGGGUAAAAAUGUGUCAGUGCAGACAACCAGCAGGAAACUGCAAUAUCUGAAGAAGGGAAAUAAAAAAUUGCAGGAUCCUCAGAGACUACACGCUAAUCCCCAGCACCACUUUUGUCUUACAAAAGUGGUGCUGGGUGAAGAUAUAGUCCGAACUUUAUGGCGACAUAAAGAGCGCGGCAGAAAUGCUUGCGCCAAUUUGGAAGUUGUACUUUCAGAUUCGUAACACACUUGUUUAAAAAGUAACAAAGGAGCCCAUCAAGGUCAGCUAGGCGCGAAUGGAAACCGUGCCGAUAGUGCAAUGGCAAAAGCUGGCUUAACUGUGAGGCGUCAGAGCCGAGCAGACGCGAAAGCGGGGCAUAGUGAACCGAUGGUACGCGUUAGACGCGGCCAGAGAUCAUCUGCUAAAAGCUACUCCGGGGAUAACAGGCUAGUUCCGCCUAAGAGUCCUAAUCGGCGGCGGAGUUCGGCACCUCGAUGUCGGCUCAACUUAUCCCGGGGCUGAAGAAGGUCCCAAGGGUAUGGCUGUUCGCCAUUUAAAAAGUUACGUGAGCUGGGUUCAGACCGUAAAUUACCUGACAGCAACUUGAGAAUGUCAAGUUGGGUGAUGUACAGUCUGAAUCCAUGAGAGAGUUUUUCGUCUAUGCAAAUGAAUGUUAGUAGGAUAAUCAAAUCACGGCGGUAUCUUGUAGUAAUACAAGAUUAUCAAGUUAACUUAUAUCGGUGGAAUCCCGAGUUUAUCGAGGGACAAUACCGAGGGAAGUUCUGUUUUGUAUUGGAAGAAGGUCAUUUUUAUUUGUUCUUUUUGUAGAGAUACUUGGCAUGUAAGAUCGAGACAUGCAGGGAAAAGAUAGUCAGUAUUUACUGGCGUGUUCCCCUGAGAUAAAACCUAUCUCCCGUCUGUUCGGAAACAGAUAUCUCUACCUUCCGGAGUUCAAACUCCGGACCUUCUUCCAAUGCAAAAUGUAAGACACCCGUAGAGACUAAAUGUUAACAUUCCACGGGAGUGGAAUAAGUUAUAGUCCAAUGCCGCAAGUAAUUGCGGAUACCAUGCGUGAGACAGGUUGGUCUCCUAUCUACUGCAGGCGCAGAUUCUUGAGGGGAGUCAUUUUUAGUAAAGUAUUGCUACUUCACAGAGUAAUCUGUGAUGACAAUGCGGCUAAUAACGGUGAAAUCUUAAUUGUUUUCGGUCUGUUGAUAACCCCUGCUUUGAAUGGUUCAAAAGCAGUGGUACAAUAUACUUGAGGACCAGAAAUAAUUAAGACAAUGCCGUGGGAAGUCGAUCUAAAACAGAUCUUGCUUAUAUCGCCGGUUUUCUCGAUGGAGAUGGGAGCUUAAUGCUCCAAAUCAAAAAGAGAAAAGACGGGCGAUUAAAAAAGAGAUUUAUGUGCACCGUGUGUUUUUAUCAAGACACGCGGCAUGAACGCAAUCUCUAUUGGAUUCGUGAAAAAAUCGGAAUUGGGUAUAUUUCUCGCAGAAAUGACGGAAUGACCGAAUUGCGAGUGAAUGGAUUUAAGCAAGUGCGAGAUAUUUUACUCGCACUGCUCCCGUUUAUUCGAUUUAAGAAAUUGCAGGCAAAGGCGCUUUAUUCCGCCGCUCAUUUAUUGAGCAAUACGGAAUUACAACGCCUCACAAAAGCGCAAUUAACACGAAUACUUAAUUUUAUUCUUGUAAUUCAAGGCGAGAAUUAUGUGACGAAGCGUAAAAAGACAAGAAAAGAAUUAUGCAAGAUAUUGGAUUUGACCCCGUAACGACUGAGUCCGAAAGGACAAGAUAGCAAUGUAACAGUUGCUAUAAUAUGCCGACGCCCUCGUCCGCUUCUGCGGAACGGGCGAAGAUAUAGUCUACACACUUAGCGAUAAGUGAAUAUGUGACGAGAGGACCAAAAUGAACGGACCUCUGGUGUACCGGCUGUUCCGCCAGGAGCAUCGUCGGGUAGCUAUGUUCGGAACGGAUAACCGCUGAAAGCAUCUAAGCGGGAAGCCAACCCCAAGAUAAGGAAUCGUUAUCAGGCCCGUCAGAGAUUAUGACGUUGAUAGGCGCUAGGUGUACGCGCAGCAAUGCGCUCAGCCAAGGCGUACUAAUCGGCCGAUUCUCUGCGGAAA
rfam:Candidatus Taylorbacteria bacterium RIFCSPLOWO2_01_FTLL_48_100 rifcsplowo2_01_scaffold_35886, whole genome shotgun sequence.